UGGCCUACGGGAGGCAGCAGUGGGGGAUAUUGCACAAUGGGGGAAACCCUGAUGCAGCAACGCCGCGUGAGUGAAGAAGGUCUUCGGAUUGUAAAGCUCUGUUCUUGGUGAAGAUAAUGACGGUAGCCAAGGAGAAAGCUCCGGCUAACUACGUGCCAGCAGCCGCGGUAAUACGUAGGGGGCAAGCGUUAUCCGGAUUCACUGGGCGUAAAGGGAGCGCAGGCGGCAUGGCAAGUCUGAUGUGAAAACCCGGGGCCCAACCCCGGGAGUGCAUUGGAAACUGCCAGGCUGGAGUGUCGGAGGGG
rnacentral:rRNA from 1 species